UAGGGAAUCUUGCGCAAUGGGCGAAAGCCUGACGCAGCCAUGCCGCGUGUAUGAUGAAGGUCUUAGGAUUGUAAAGCUCUUUUGUGCGGGAAGAUAAUGACGGUACCGCAAGAAUAAGCCCCGGCUAACUUCGUG
rnacentral:rRNA from 1 species